UUCCACCAUUGAUAUUAGAGGGGGAAUUAAACCUGGUGUUCUACUAAGUUAGUGCUAUGAAGCUUAGGCUACAUGAUUGAUAUUAUGCCUUGGUUUAUGCGAUAGAUUUAGAUUUUUUUAAAUUAUUUGUGUUUGACAGAACAUUCAAGUUCAUUUCAUAGUAGUGUUUGUAAUUUACCUAGUUUUAAUCUGUAGCCUAACUAUGUUUUUACAGGUGUUCCUGGACAGUUUUGAAACCGAGAUGUCUGAACGCCUCAAAUAAUCAGCAGUAAAGACAACAGAGACAAAUUCUCUAAUACCAAGGUCAAUGCAUUUGACUGCUGUCCAGCCCCGGGUUGCCACCGAAAACUUUAUGCAUCUUGGACUGGAAGAUGGUUUGCUAGUAAGGAAGCUAGCUACCACAGCCUUUGCCACCACAUCUCAGUGUUGGGAGGGAAGUUCACUCACUGCACAACUCUACCAGCUGUACCUUUCCUCCUCAGCCAUGAUCUGUAACCACCAUGGUUUUCUUUCUGGGCCAGAAGACUUUGCAAACAAAUAAGCAAUAAAUGAUCAUGCAUUACAAAUUUA